GGAGAUCUAGCGCCCCAGGAAAAUGCCGGAAGUAUGUGGGGUGAUAAUGGACAAUGCUCAUCACUCGGGAGGAAGUAGCUCCACUUAUGAGUACAUCCUAUGGUCUCCUCGUGUGCACACACACACAUGCACUGUACACAUGAGAACACACGGAGCGACAGGGAGGCCAUUCCUCUGGGCUGUUGGAACUGGGGAACAGAAGCUCCCCGCUACUGGCUGCACCUGAGCAGAAGCUAGUGUUUUACAGGGAUGUGGUGGAGAAGGUUCUGGAAGGAGGCUGAGCAGAGACCUUUCCAACUCAGAGCCUCUGAUUUUCUUCCAUUUGGACUUUCAGGCAUUUGGAGUUCAGGAAUGCUCACUGAUGAAAUCACUACCCAAUCAGGGAAACUGUUUAAACAGCCGGCUUUCCAGCUUUCUAAAAAUAGGACUCAAUUUACAGAGUGGGGCAGAGAGAGCCGGACACUGCACAGCCCUGUGAUAGGCCAGGCACUGUGUCACUUAUUCCUACCAACCCUAGAUUCCAGCUGCCCAGGGAAUCCAGGCAUGAAGAAGUGGGGGGAUUGCUCAGGACCCGCGGUGGUAAGUGGCGAUUUGCGGAGCAGUGUCCUUGUCUGCAUGGCUGCAGAUGGCUCUGUACUACCUCCAUAUUCACAUUCAAGAUGGCAGAACGCCCAUGUCCUCAUGGGUCUUCUUCCCUCACCAUGUGAGCCUGCCUCAGCUGACAUCACUCGGCCAAAUGGCCAUGGAAGCAGCAAGAAACUGCAGCACACCGCCAGAAGUUUCUUGGUGCGUUUCUCUCUAUGGAGUCCCGACAAAUGCAGCUCAACUACGCAAUGGAAGGCGGACCAAUACACACGUGUCGUUAGCAAAGAAUCCUUCAUCACGUGUCCUUCCACGUGCUUGCUUUAGCAGAACGUCCUUUCACCUGUGCCCAAUUCAGGAAAACACUCCUUCAUGUGUUUGCCCCAACAAAACACCAUCUGCUGGAACAACUGGCUUUCCAAAGAAACUGUAAGUUUCCACUUCACACAUAUUCUUUGCUGUGCAGAAACUGACAAUUGUGUUGUUGUAAAAUUAUAUUAAAAGGCUGUCUUUUACCUCCACUAGAUCCAGCACUGCCAUGCUCCAAGGUAUCUGCUAGAUGUCUUACCAGAAACAUACAUCCCACUGUGUGGUGGCCCAGUGUCUCUGCCGCCACACGCUCUCCCAAAGUCAAAUUGUCACAAGAAUGAACACACAACACAAUAACCUCUGAUCCAAUUGAUAAGAUAUAAUUACCCACCUAAACAUACAAAGCCCUGUACACAUCCAUCCCUUAAGAACAUUCAUAACAACCUGUAAAGGUGCAUCAUGGAAUCUUAACGUCAGCCUCCAUGUUCUCUCAGUGGCUUCUCCUCCAGUCUUCCCCCGUUCCAGUCUCCUCCUCUCCCCUCAAACUUUUCUCCCGCCCAUCCUUCCUUCUCAUCCAAUGACAGGCCUCAUUCUAUCUUGUACCUGCCUCACCUGUGUGACAUCAUCCCACACACUUGGGCUGCAAAAACCGCUUGAGGCCACAGAGUUAGAAACCCAGGCUCAUCUGCUGUGCAGAGAGGCUGUUCUCUGCGUGGAGGGGCAUGUGUUUUUCUUCUCUAGAAGUUACCUAGUAAGUGCUCAAUUAACACUAUCUGUAACUGCAGAGUAGUAGCUGUCCUUUCAGACUGUCACUCGCUCCCAUAGCUCUUCCUGAAGUCUGGUACUUGCUUGGGACCCAGCCUCAAGUUUCUGGCUGGGUGGGAAGGCUAUGCAUGGGGUCUAGGAGCAAAAGGAACAAAGGAAAGUUCUCUCACUCUGCACAGCCCACUGAGCUUUCCCUCGGAUCCUGACUGAGGACUACUGUGCUAUCAUGUCAUAGUAUAUUUCUGUGUCUCUCUCUAUUGACCCAAAGUGUCCCAGCGUUCUGGAGCCGCAGUACCUACAUCAGUUCCUGGCAUGUGACAGGCAUCUUGUCAAUGACUGGCGACUGUGUGAAUUAAUGUACUUAAGUGGACAUCAAAGGUGGGGUGCUGGAUCCGGGACUGGGAGAGCGCUAUGGUGUUCAUGCAGGCCAGUUUUAACUGCAGUAAUACUCCAUAACCAUUCACCCCAAAACACCAGCUAACACCACCAGUGUUCACAUGUUUCCUCCGCUCAUGAGACUGAGGGCUGGCCAUGUUCAGGUAUGUUUUAGCUAUUUCUUCAUUUUCUUGGGACAAAUUUCUAUUUGGGACUUGACUUUCUCAUGGUAGAUGACUCACGUGGAAACAGAAUGGCCUUUCAGGUAUGGCUUAAGCCCCAUAGCCCCUCACUUCUGUUCACAUCCCUCAGGUUGGAUGGCCAGGCCCACUGGAGUAAGGAAAUAAUUCCAGCCACUCUUGUGCUCCAUGGUCAUUGUGGGUAAAUGAGGGCCAAGAGCCGAACAACAUUAAAACUGCAACCGCUUUGGACAAAGCUCAGGGUUUCCUUAAUUCCUUCUCCUAGAAUCUAACGGACAGGGGCUGCUGGGCCCUGAAAUCGCUUUUCUCUUGAGGUUUAUGACAAGAAGUGGUAACUGUACUCUGUUGUCUCCAUUGCUACCUUCUUUUUUUUUUUUUUUUUAAGAUUUAUUCAUUUAUUAUAUUUAAGUACACUGUAGCUGUCUUCAGAUACACCAGAAGAGGGCAUCGGAUCUCUUUACAGAUGGUUGUGAGCCACCAUGUGGUUGCUGGGAAUUGAACUCAGGACCUCGGAAGAGUAGUCGGGUGCUCUUAACCGCUGAGCCAUCUCUCCAGCCCGCUACCUUCUUUUUAGAAGCAGAACAUUCCAACAUGAUGCACACUAGGGACCACAUUUCCCAGCCUCCUUUGCAGUUGAGUUUGGCCAAGUGGCUCAGUUGUGGCUCAGAAGUGCCCAACCUCCUUCUGGUGGCUGCUUGUCUUCCCUCCUUUGUCCUUGCCUUGGGCUAAACAUAGAUUCGCUUGAUGAAGUGUCCCUCGCUAUGGCUAUAAAGAUGAAGACUGGCUGGUAAGGUGACUUACUGUGUAAUGGUACUGGCUGCCAAGUCAGAUGACCAAACCUUGAUCUCUGGGACCCACAUAGUAGAAGGAAAGAACCAACUCCCACAGGUUCUCUCCUGACUGCCACAGGUUUACUUUGGCAAGAAUGUAUCCACGCCAAAUAAAUAAAAUGUAGCAAAAAUUUAAAAAUUUAACAAUGAGACUGAUACUAUUUUAUUACAUCUGUUUAUUAUUGCAUUUAUACAUUACACACACACACACACAGGCACACACGCAUGCACAUGCACACACACCUAUGCUAUGGUACCAUGGUAAACAUGUGGGAAUCGGGGGGAAAACUUACAGGAGCUCAUUUUUUCCUUCACCACAUGGGUCCCUGGGAUAGAACUCUGGUUGUCAGUAUUGGCAACAAGCACCUUUACCCACUGAGCCAUUUUGCUGGCCCCAGGACAAUACUUUAAGGGAUGAGGGAGAUCACAGUGGGGGAAAAAUACCCACAUGAGCUCUUGGAGUUGAUCUGUUUGCCUGCCCAGCUCAGAUCAAAGUGUGAGAAUGGCGGCGUCCUCCUCUGAGCUGUAUUCUCGCUUGCUCCUGGGUCUUCACCUGUGUCUCAGCCCCUCCCCGUCACUCCAUCAUCACUCUAUGGCCUGCCUACUCCAGCCGCCAGGACCUCUGGUUCAUCCUCUGUCCCCACUCACUGAAGUGUGGCCUCAAUCAAAGGUCCUUUUUGAUUUUUCCCUGGCAAAGUUGAGAUGGGAUGGACUAGAGAACUCAUGAUUGGAAACAAGUAGUCAAGGGAGUUUAAGAAGGGAAGUCUAAAGCACUCAAGUCCCUACUGUAGAGUCACCAGAGCCACCAUGCACCACAGCGGCCACCCCCAGAUGCAGCCACAGCAGAUGUGGCCAGGGCAGUCAGAUGGGAGACUUUACCCAGGGGACUGGAAAUGAACGGAUAUGAAAUUUAGAGCAAUAAUGACAUCCCCAGAUGCAGCCACAGCAGAUGUGGCCUGGGAGACUUUACCCAGGGGACUGGAAAUGAGCAGAUAUGAAAUUUAGAGCAAUAAUGACAUCUUUUUUGAGAUAUGAUCUGGUCUGGAACUCACUCUGGUCAGGCUUGCCUUAAACCCACAGAGAUCUGCCUGCCUCUGCCUUCCAAGUACUGGCAUUAAAGGUGUGCCCCAACCGUGCCCAGUAAGAAUGAUAAGUCCUUGAAAAUUAGUUAAUGGGGGCUGGAGAGAUGGCUCAGUGGUUAAGAGCACAGACUGCUCUUCCAGAGGUCCUGAGUUCAAAUCCCAGCAACCACAUGGUGGCUCACAACCAUCUGUAAUGGGAUCUGAUGCCCUCUUCUGGUGUGUCUGAAGACACCUACAGUGUACUCACAUAC